UACGGAGGAUGCGAGCGUUAUCCGGAUUUAUUGGGUUUAAAGGGUGCGUAGGCGGGAUGCCAAGUCAGCGGUAAAAAUGCGGUGCUCAACGCCGUCGAGCCGUUAAAACUGGCGUUCUUGAGUGGGCGAGAAGUAUGCGGAAUGCGUGGUGUAGCGGUGAAAUGCAUAGAUAUCACGCAGAACUCCGAUUGCGAAGGCAGCAUACCGGCGCCCUACUGACGCUGAGGCACGAAAGCGUGGGUAUCGAACAGG
rnacentral:rRNA from 1 species